GGGCGCAUAGCUCAGUCGGUAGAGCAGCUGACUCUUAAUCAGCGGGUCGCAGGUUCGAUUCCUGCUGCGCCCACCA
rnacentral:tRNA from 1 species